rnacentral:rRNA from 1 species
CUUACGGUUGGCAGCAGUGAGGAAUCUUGGUCAAUGGCCGUAAGGCUGAACCAGCCAAGUCGCGUGAAGGAAGAAGGAUCUAUGGUUUUUAAACUUCUUUUAUAGGGGAAUAAAGGUAUCCACGUGUGGAUAUUUGCAUGUACCCUUUGAAUAAGCAUCGGCUAACUCCGUGCCAGGAGCCGCGGUAAUACGGAGGAUUCGAGCGUUAUCCGGAUUUAUGGGGUUUAAAGGGCCGGUAGGUUGUUUUUUAAGUCAUCGGUGAAAGUUUGUGGCUCAACCAUAAAUGUGCCGUGGAAACUGGAAGACUUGAGUGUGUGUGGGGAAGGCGGAAUGCGUGGUGUAGCGGUGAAAUGCAUAGAUAUCACGCAGAACUCCGAUUGCGAAGGCAGCUUACU